rnacentral:antisense_RNA from 1 species
UAGAAGAAAUACGGACUUUAAUGAAGAGUUUUCCCUUUGGUAUAAGUGAGACCCGUGGAAACAUCCAAACAACAGCAAAAGGAGGCCAAGAUGAAAACGGUCAACUCUCCCUUAUCCACAAGGCCAAAAGAGGGGGGCUGGCUUGCUGUGGUGUGGCCACCCCGGGCCUAGGCUGGGCCAGGCCUGUAGAAGGUACUCAGGAACUGCAGGUUUUGCGUUUUCCCUCCAUGAAACUGACAGGCAUUCGGGCUGACUUCGGCCUCUCAGUCUCGCGGUAAGAGACCCAAGUUUUUCUAGUCCUAGAUGGAAAUAAAUUUCAUCUGCCUCA